AUGGGUGUGUCUAAUCUAUGCUUAUUGUUUACUAUUGAGGAAGAAUGCAUGCAAAAGAAAAGAGAAAGAGAAAAUAAUGUAGGGAAAAUAAAGUUGUACUCGCUUGGGCCCUACCCCAAUGUCUGCGUAUUCUUUUUGAGGAAUCAGAGUUACCGUAGUUCGGCUCACAUGCUUUGUUUGUUUGUGUAUUUUAUGAACAAUGUUAAUUCCGCCUUCUUCUGCAGCUCGACCUUUGGAGACUCACGCGUUGGCACAUAA